rnacentral:rRNA from 1 species
UACAGAGGUCUCGAGCGUUGUUCGGAUUCAUUGGGCGUAAAGGGUGCGUAGGUGGUCGGCUAAGUCGGAUGUGAAAUCCCGGGGCUCAACCCCGGAACUGCAUUCGAUACUGGCUGGCUUGAGUCCUGGAGGGGAGAUCGGAAUUUACGGUGUAGCAGUGAAAUGCGUAGAUAUCGUAAGGAAGACCAGUGGCGAAGGCGGAUCUCUGGACAGGAACUGACACUGAGGCACGAAGGCCAGGGGAGCAAACGGG